GUGAAUCUCUUGGUCUUUCAUAUGCACAGUGUCUUAUGAGGGUAUCAAACUUUGCAGAACAGGUUUAGAUAGAACGAUUGCCUCGUCAUUUUGGUUUUAGGGCAACUUUGAAGAAAGGUUUUGAUCCACUUCAAAUGUUGACUACUGUAUAGCGCAAUAUAGUUUAUUGGUUAUUAUAACUUAAUUUCAGAGGUAGUUGCCUUAACUAAAAUAAAUAAAUAAAUAAAUAAAUAAAUAAAUAAAUAAAUAAAUAAAUAAAUUCGCAAACUGUUGCGUUAAUUUUAUUUUGUUUCGUCUAAACAAUAUUUUUUAGACUAUGAAAUAUAAAUUCUCACAGAAUGUAGCCUUUUCAUAACCAAUAUAGCCUAUUGAACCAUCUCUUUAUGUUUUUCUAAAUCCCAAACAGAGUCCAGACAUCAGUAUGAUCCGUCUAUGAUGUUUUAUAGGCUUUUUUAGAUUUGGGAAUACACAUGCGUUACAGACAUGACAAAAACAUUUUUGGAGUUUUUGGAGAAGGGUUGGCCAUUCUCAAAACAUAAAAUAUCAAUUUUAUUUCAAUUUUCGUUUUUGUGUUUCAGAGGAAAAAACAGUGUUAAAGCAUCUGUCCAUUACAGACCGUUCUGAAAGAAGAAUUUAUGCAAACGCGUAUAAAAUGCUUUAAAAGCUUUAACAGAGAUAUCUAGAGGGUAUUUAAUAGGUCCGCCCCCCACGUAAGAUUUUUCUAGUUACUAGCCGUUCAUUUGUCAUUAUUCAACUAAUCGCAGGUUUAUAUUAAAUUUACAUCUAUAAUCCAUAAUGAGCCUUAAUAUAUUCUGCGCUCAAGCACAUGCAUUAAGUUUGCCACAAAGCACAGGCAGAAGUAGCCCAAUAAUUGUAAAAAAGGAGACAUUUUAAUUAUUUAUUUAUAAACAAUUUUUUUCUUUUCGGCUCCAAGAUGAAAUUCACAGUGCUGACUUUAUCCACAUGGACUCGCCUUUAAAGAGAAAUACAACCUUCACAGAUUACAUAAUGCUUUCGUUCUGAAUUGAUUCGUUUAAAAGACAUUUCAAGCUUUCUGCUGUUAUAUUUCUCAUGUAUGUGAGACACCACAAUUUUAAGUUAAUUCAUUAUCAGGAAAAAAUUCAAGUGAUCUAGAGGGCGCCUCCCUGUCCUGCAUGCGCAUUAAUAAUUUUCGCACAAACACUUGAAUAUGAAUAAUAAUUCACAUUUUGCAUAUGCAUUACAACGUAAAUUAUUUUUUACAUGCAAUUAUCCAAAAUAAAACCAAACAAGAGUUGUAAUGAAGAUAAAACAAAUAAGAAUAAAUGCUGCGCGUGCACUCAGCAUGACUUGCGCCGUGCAAAUCUUGCAAGCAGACAAAUUUACACACCUGCAUUUUAAUGCGGCUGCAUUUUUUUUUAAAUUA
ensembl:lncRNA